UAUACAUUCCUUGGAAAGCUGAACAAAAUGAGUGAAAACUCUAUACCGUCAUCCUCGUCGAACUGA
rnacentral:snoRNA from 1 species